AUUCGAGUGAGGGCUCUGGGUCCACCUCCCACCCGUGUUUAUUGUACCUUGUUGCUUCGGCGGGCCCGCCGUUUUCGAACGGCCGCCGGGGAGGCCCUGUGCCCCCGGGCCCGCGCCCGCCGAAGACCCCAACAUGAACUCUGUUCUGAAAGUAUGCAGUCUGAGUUUGAUUACCAUAAUCAAUUAAAACUUUCAACAACGGAUCUCUUGGUUCCGGCAUCGAUGAAGAACGCAGCGAAAUGCGAUAAGUAAUGUGAAUUGCAGAAUUCAGUGAAUCAUCGAGUCUUUGAACGCACAUUGCGCCCCCUGGUAUUCCGGGGGGCAUGCCUGUCCGAGCGUCAUUGCUGCCCUCAAGCACGGCUUGUGUGUUGGGCCCCCGUCCCCGGUUCACCCCGGGGACGGGCCCGAAAGGCAGCGGCGGCACCGCGUCCGAUCCUCGAGCGUAUGGGGCUUUGUCACCCGCUCUGUAGGCCCGGCCGGCGCCAGCCGACACCCCAACUUUAUUUUUCUAAGGUUGACCUCGGAUCAGGUAGGGAUACCCGCUGAACUUAAGCAUAUCAAUAAGCGGAGGAAG
rnacentral:rRNA from 1 species